rnacentral:rRNA from 1 species
GCCAGCAGCCAUAUCACUCUGCAACUCCUAGCUGGCAGCCCACUGAAGCUCAGCAGGUGUGAGCCUGGUCAGUACCUGGAGGGGAGACUCCUGGGAAAGCUAAGGUUGCUGCUGGAA